UUGUGGCAUCGUGGGAUGUUCUCUCAGUCUGUGACUUGAAGGUUAUGAGCUCGGAGAAGAGAUAGUUAAAGCUUCCUCGCGCCAGCGAGAUGAGUUGUACCACACAGCGCCCAUGCCAGGUCAGCAGUUUGGAUGGAGCUGAGACACUUACCGGCUGUGCCAAGCAGUGUCAGACACCUCUGGAAGCCCCUGCCUAGGACCCCGAAUUUAGAUUCAUGCUGCAGUCUGGGGAAUGUUUUUGAUGUCUGCCGGGCUACAGGGAAAAGCGCACUGCAUGCACACUGCCUCUAAGAAGAGACAGAGCUCUCCAGGCUGAGCAUCAGAGGAAGCUGGACCUGGGCAGGACUGCUCAGGUGAGGCCUGGGCGUCCAUCUCCUGGGGCGGAUCUAAGAGGACCAGAGCUCCCAUCUCAUAGUGAUACUGAUGAAUGUGGCAGACCUGAGAAGAGCUUACAGCGCCUGACUGUCAGUGGUGAGGUGUCUGCUGCUGCUGGAGUUGUACUCCUGGCUCGUCCUGGAGCUUCCUGGCUGCAUUUGCUCCUGGUGGUCUAUCACAGCAAUAGAAACGCUAACGAAGACAAGAGGUGGUCUUCAUCAGGAUCCCUGAAAGGUUCUGUGUGGAAUCUGAGGCUGGGAAUUCAUCUCUGACCUGUGCAAAGUGCCUUUGGCAUUAAGGAGACCCAGAGGUGUUUUGUGAUAUCACUGGACACCAAGAUUUGAAAAGACACUAGAGCCCACAUUGCUACCUUGGAAAAUAACUCUUUGUUUCUUUGGCAUGCGAGAGAACCAAUUCUGCUACCACCACCGCCUCUUCUCUGUCUCCAUCUGUCAGGACGGGUCACCGUGGCCUGUAAUGACGAGAGGUAAUGCCUCGGGCGGGAAGGACCAUCGUACAGGACCUGUUCUAGGAAGUUCCUUGGAGGAACAGAAAAGCACUCCGACUUACAUAUUUCUUCCAUCUAGCUAAGAUUUUUUGUUUGUUUGUUUCAAGAGGGAGAAAGAAUGUCUUUUUUCAUCACAAAUGAAGCAAAUGUAUUUUAUGGUUGGUGAGGGACAGAAGUCAUCAGGAGUUUCUCUGUGCCUGGCUCAUUUGGGCCAGUUUGAAGAGACCCAGGCUGGGAGUAUACCAUGAGUACAGCCAAGGCUUCAGUGGGAAGUACUGAGGACGUAGUUGAGUUCGCGCACUUGCAAAAUAACGUGAAUCUCCUAGGACUGUCUUAAUGGCGCUGUUCCCACUGCAGUGGGUGUGGUUGGCACACACCUGUAAAAUCCUGGCACUCAGAGGAAAGAGGGAAGAGCGGCAGCAGAAGGAAAUCCAAGACUAUGCUUGCCAGCAGGAUAUCCAGCUUCCUGCAGUGAACAGAGCUGCCCAGCUCACCCGCGGUCAGCAGGCUCCAGGAUUAUAUCAUCUUCAUUAUCUAGAGUCCUACCUGUGACAGGUGAAGAAACCAGCCCAAUCUCCGGUGACACAACAGAGCGCCACAGAUACCACAUUCUUCAAUGUCUGCACCCUAGCUGUUGGAUCUGUUUACCUUUGUGGUUCUGGGUAUUUGUCAAGACAGCGAUGUCGAAAUCUGAAAGCUGUGUUGAUAACACCACUCAUAAAUCAGCUUUCUCAGUCAUCAUGAUGAUGUUGUUUUCUCUUUUUUUGACCGAAAAUGUGUUCCUUUUGGCCUUUGCAUCGUGAGACCCAAGGCAGAAGUGCCCAGAUAACUCGGAGAUAACUCAAGAUGCUGCAUUUGAAAGCUCUGGCUUACCUGAGGGGGACACAGAAGAGGUGAAGAACCUUCCCUGGAAAAGUAAGAGUGUAUUUGGACCAUGGAAAUAACAUGUGUUUGGGCAAGGCGAUGGCUGGUUCUUGUUGAUGCCACCUGUUUGGUGAAAUCUCUGAAAUAAGCACUUUGCUCAUUCACAGGAUCAUGGAGGGCAUAAGGAUCUUGAGGGCAUUGGUCCUAGGAGCAUCAGUGAGAUAACACGGUGUAGAGGGGACUCUCUGCUUCUACUGGAACCGUCAUUCAAGGCUCAGAAAGAAUAUCUGGGUUGGACAUGGCUCUAAUGCAUCCUGUCUUCAGGAAUUUCCUGGGGAACAUCGGGAUAGCGUAUUCCCUGAGGAACACGGAAGAAGAAAGUACAGCUCCUCCCCGGGGUUUGGAUCAUUCUGAACGACAUGAAAUUCUGCUUAAGUCCAGGAGGAGUGGCUUAAAGCGUGCUGUGAUUGAGAAGGUUGAAGACAAAUUAGGAUCAUAUUUUAUUCCACCUGGAGAAAAGGUGAUGCAGUGGAUUUCAUGUUCUUUAGAAAUAUGUCCAGUCAAUGCUGGUGUUGAAAAAAAGGACAGAGACGAUCCUUUUUCGGGCAAGCAAAAGCAGAUAUGGACUUGGUUUGUGAAUGGUGGAUGGAGGAACCCAGCAUGGUAUUGAUGAUCUCUAGAAACUUCCAGACAAACAAAUGUGGGUGUCCCCUGUUAGAUUCCUGAGAGUGGGUACUGCAGAAGACUUCUGGUGUUUUCUACAGAUAAAUGCUUACACAGAACUGUUUAUUACUGUAAUACAGUCAUGCUAUC